rnacentral:rRNA from 1 species
UACGGAAGGCAGCAGUGGGGAAUAUUGCACAAUGGGCGAAAGCCUGAUGCAGCUAUGCCGCGUGUAUGAAGAAGGCCUUAGGGUUGUAAAGUACUUUCAUCGGGGAGGAAAAACAAAACUAAUAAUUUUAUUUCUUGACGUUACCCGAAAAAGAAGCACCGGCUAACUCCGUGCCAGCAGCCGCGGUAAUACGGAGGGUGCUAGCGUUAAUCAGAAUUACUGGGCGUAAAGAGCACGUAGGUGGUUUUUUUAAGUCAGAUGUGAAAUCCCUGGGCUUAGCCUAGGAACUGCAUUUUGAAACUGAAAUACUAGAGUAUCGUAGAGGGAGGUAGAAUUCUAGGUGUAGCGGUGAAAUGCGUAGAUAUCUGGAGGAAUACCUGUGGCGAAAGCGGCCUCCUAAACGAAUACUGACACUGAGGUGCGAAAGCGUGGGAGCAAACAGGGAUUAGAUACC